rnacentral:rRNA from 1 species
GGGCCCGCACAAGCGGUGGAGCAUGUGGUUUAAUUCGAUGAUACGCGAGGAACCUUACCAGGGCUUAAAUGUAGUCUGACAGCUUUAGAGAUAGAGUUUUCUUCGGACAGAUUACAAGGUGCUGCAUGGUUGUCGUCAGCUCGUGCCGUGAGGUGUCAGGUUAAGUCCUAUAACGAGCGCAACCCCUGUCGUUAGUUGCCAGCAUGUCAUGAUGGGGACUCUAACGAGACUGCCGGUGCAAACCGCGAGGAAGGUGGGGAUGACGUCAAAUCAUCACGGCCCUUACGUCCUGGGCCACACACGUGCUACAAUGGCCGGUACAGAGAGCAGCCACGUCGCAAGGCGGAGCGAAUCUAUAAAACCGGUCACAGUUCGGAUCGGAGUCUGCAACUCGACUCCGUG